AGAGGAAAAGGAUCGGAGUCAGAAUGUUAAUUUAGACUGGAAGAAUCCGAUGAGCUGUGAAGCUCUUCUAUCGCAGAUGUCGAGUAUGGACGGGUCAGCAAUUUGGGACAGCAAUCAAUACACACAAAAAGCGUUUGGAGCGCAAAAUAGAGAGAGAGAGAAAAAACGAUUAGCAAGACACUCAAUAUCAAUGCGUAAUUCAUGAAUAACAGGAGGGAGGCAUCAGCAGGAGUAACACAGAGCAAUGGAAUAUGAACGAGAAAGAGAGGAACAGGGGGGAACAAUCGGAACGGCGGAGGGUGGGGCAACGGAGGAGAACAGAGAGGGACAAGAGACACGGACCGUGGUAUGAAAUAACAGAGGUGGAAGAGGGACAGGGGAGACAGCGCAAGGGAUGGAGAGAGGAGUAACGGGAGGAGGAACGUCACAGAGAUAACGACAGCAAACAGCGGCGGUAGAGCAACAGGAGGGGGGACUGGCGGAACGAUAUUCGGGAACCAGCAGGAUGAUGAGACACAGCUGGAUGAAGAGUUGCAGGAACUUUAGUGGGGGGAGGGGGCAGGAUCAGCAGUUGUAGGAAUAGGAGGAAGAAAGGAAGAAUAGCAGAGGAACGGGAAAUAGCGCUCCAGGGUGCGCGAGGAGGAACAGUCGGAGGAACAGGGAGACGGAGCACUUAGGACAUUAUUUUUUUGUUUAAACACAGUUGCUGAGCCUAGGGGGUCCAAAACGUCACGGGGCCAGUAACAAAGAGCACGAUUUAAAAUCUCUUCACAAAUAAGGGGGUGCUGUAACACGUCGCUUUGAAUGAAAGUUAUUGUAUAGGAGGGGCUUGGCAGUUCGGGACGAUGGGAGGGGCUUCCAGGAGACGGAAUUUAAGGGGCAACAGGAGAGAGCGAGAGGAACAGUUGGAACGAUAGGAGGGGGAACGGACGGACGGCGGAACGUCUGGAGGAACGGGAGAUUAGACGUUUGGAACAAGUCGAGAGGCUGGCAACAGUGGCGGAACGUCGUCAGCACAAGCCGCGCGCCGUGAGCUCAACAAAAAGUCAUCAAUGCUUCAUCGUCAGCCACGGUCUAUCCACUGCUGGAUGAACACCUCUCCCCAGCCCACCCUCCCCACCGACGCCCCCCCCCCCCACUCCCCAAAGCUCACGCGAUGCGACAAUUUGAGUGCGCGCGAGGAGCCGAUCCCAUCGCUCCAUCUCCGCGGUGAUCGUCGUCUGCGCCGUGAAGUUAUUUUUCUACAACUCCCUUCUCCUCCUUUGACCGUCGCUCCGCCGUUAGUCUCGACCACGCAUCGAGUCGCGUGCACGUCCUGCGGCCGAGCCGUGUUACAUCCCCGCACCCGUGUGGGAAUGCCGGCGGAUUAGGGGAAGGCCUUCAUCCAGCAGUUGAUAUAUCACGGGUGGUGGUGCGUGAUGAUGAUGAUGAUGAAAUAAAGGAUGCGUGUGCUUGUGUGUGAUGCCCGACGUUUCACUCCACGUGCCGGGAACUUCUUCAGGAACUGAUUUGAACAGAUGCAAUCUCUGUUACAAGGCAUCGCCCUGAAAUUAAAAUGAAUGUUCUGCGGAGGGCGAAGUACUCGGUUCACCGACGGUGAUGACGACGACGAUGUGGAUCUCGCACACCUGCCAGAGUUUAUCGUGAGCAGUGUGGAACUCUAGACCAAGUCCUGCCCUAUAUGAGAGACAUUUACCAACACGUAUGUAUGUUGAACUCUUCUUUGGUUCUUUCGGUAAAGUCACGUGACUUUACCGAAAGAACCAAAGAAGAUGAAUCAUUGCAGUCACGAAAGCUUUAAAUCGAAAUUUAUGUUGAACUCAUUGUGCGAUGUACUGACGUCGCGGGCACCACGUGUAUGUGGGUGCAGUACCGGCCAUAGAGGGUCUCGGUGAGCGCUGACUGGAAGUCCUGGGUGGCACCACGCUCUGCGUGCAGUGCAGACCCCUACAGAACAGGGUGUGAGAAUGCCGGCCAUGUGGUUACAAAGGGCCAUGGCACUCCGCUUGACCCCGAAGGACACGUGACCGUUAAAGUCUACACAGGGCCAUCCCAGGUGGGUGCUAGGGGUGGUCACGUGUCAGGGUCGAGAUCCUGCUGGAGGCUUCUAGAAGGCGGUCGUGGCUAAGGGCGCAGCCAGCCACGCCACGGAGGAUAAAGGCCGAGUCCCCGGGAGGGACCGGCUGCUGUUGUUUCAUCCUGAAGAAACCAUCGUCUACGUUCUACGUCCUACAGACUCUCCAACACGUGGAGCCGGACCCGAGCUGUGGUCCGGUCCGUAUAGUAGCUGGUGGUCACCACCCGGUUAACUAUACCAGUCACGUUGUAAGUAGCGCAGUUAGCCUGGUGGUCAGCACCAUCGGUUGUUAUCUGGUUAAGGGGCAGUUACCCCGUUGUGUUGGUAUUAAUAAAUGUGUUGCCUCUAAA